CACGGUGUGGCAUCACACAGAGGUCAAAGGAGAAAUCCGCUGAAGGAUGGGCUCGCGUCCAAUUAGCUAGAUGGUGAGGUAACGGCCCACCAUGGCGACGAUUGGUAGCCGGACUGAGAGGUUGAUCGGCCACAUUGGGACUGAGACACGGCCCAGACUCCUACGGGAGGCAGCAGUGGGGAAUAUUGCACAAUGGAGGAAACUCUGAUGCAGCGACGCCGCGUGAGGGAAGAAGGUCUUCGGAUUGUAAACCUCUGUUGUCAGGGACGAUGAUGACGGUACCUGACGAGGAAGCCACGGCUAACUACGUGCCAGCAGCCGCGGUAAAACGUAGGUGGCAAGCGUUGUCCGGAAUUACUGGGUGUAAAGGGAGCGCAGGCGGGAGAGCAAGUUGGGAGUGAAAUCUGUGGGCUCAACCCACAAAUUGCUUUCAAAACUGUUUUUCUUGAGUGGUGUAGAGGUAGGCGGAAUUCCCGGUGUAGCGGUGGAAUGCGUAGAUAUCGGGAGGAACACCAGUGGCGAAGGCGGCCUACUGGGCACUAACUGACGCUGAGGCUCGAAAGCAUGGGUAGCAAACAGGAUUAGAUACCCUGGUAGUCCAUGCCGUAAACGAUGAUUACUAGGUGUGGGAGGAUUGACCCCUUCCGUGCCGCAGU
rnacentral:rRNA from 1 species